UCAGCAAUGUGUGGAGGUUGAGCUACAAAGGGUACAUGAACCAAACUGAAGGAACUUCUCUGGCCAGUAGGGAAAACGUAAGCAGCAAAGAGGACAUGGUAAUUGAAAGAGAUACUUUUUAAAAAAUGAAACUGAUGCAAUGGUGGCCAGGAAGCACGAUCAUUUUGGGCAGGUUGUACUGGAAGAACAAAGACAUGCUUGAGAAUAACAAACACCUGAUUCAUGUGGUUUCUAUUUCUGCGGAAACCUUUGGCAGCUACACAUCCAUGUGGUUACACACAUGCGCAGACUCCAGCAGUGUCCGACUUGUGGUUGUCCUGGUCGUAGUUAUGUGUAUGAUCCUUGUCAGGAUUGAAGGCCCUAUUGCUGCCCCUUACUUUCAACCUGACGGUGAAUAUUCCCUGGAAGCCCCCCUGGAACCUGCAUGGCUGGAGUCCCAGGUGUGUACACGAUGGUGGCUGAAGGUGUGUGAGAAGGAACUUGAACCAGAGGCAGAGUGAGCAGAGGGGCACGCACGAGGAUGUGGAAGGGGGAAGCAAUGUG